UGUAAGUGAAUUUAUUUGGUGUGCUAUUUCAUUUUUACAAUUUUUUCCUGUCCAAAUGCUGUAACUUCACUCUGAUACAAGAUGACAACUGUACGUUUCUUCAGUACAAGGUCUUUGUCAUUAGCUUUAAAUGAGUUAGGUAGAGGACAGAUAAUGUUGGCAUUUAUAUUAGAAUUUAUAACUUUAUUAUCGGUCAUGUUUCCUCCAGUAUGUUCACAAUUAAAUCUUAAAUUCUGAGCAAGCUGAGUAUUUUUGUAUAUUUUGCAUAAUAUUAAAAGAAAAAAAAAAAAAAACACUUUACAUCGUCAGCUAAAAAAAAAUUCUGCCUUAACCAAAUAAUGGAUCAAUCAAACACUUGUUGCAAUAACCAGACUAUAAAGGAUAAACAUUUCAGAUAAAAUUGAUGUACACAAUACAGUCAAGGCAGCAAAAUACUGAAGCAAUGAACAGUUCAAAUGCACAAGAUACAGCUGUGCUGUGGCUUAAUACAGUACCACACAACUGAGAUGGAGAAAAAAGUAAGUACUAUCAUUUUACUUCAAACAAACUAUUAAAGCCACAGCUUCUAUAUAUUUUAAUGAAGAGGCUGAUUUGUGUUAUAUCAGCACCAGAAAAGUACAGUAAUAAUUUUUAUAUUAAUGGAGAAAAAAAAACUACAAUUUUUUUCUGGUAGAUGAUGCUGGAAGAACAGAAAGAAGUAACAAGAGACUGCAAAUAGUGUGGCCAUUGGAUAAUAGAAAGGAAUUACGUAACUGUACAUUCUUCUUUUAAAUAUUGUGAUCAGAUAAAACAAAACUUGUGGUAGUGCAACAAUGUAUGUAUCACCGGCACAAUUCAACAUGAACAUUAAUUAUGUUGGCUCUUAAAAGAGGCCCAGAUUCAUCUAAAAAAUUAGAUAAUCUUUUCUCAGUCAUAACACUAGUAUGCCUACACGUAUGCUCUGCUAAAUAUUAAAUGCAUUACAGGAAAAUGCUUUUGACACAAAUGAGUUUCCAAUCCUCGUGGGCAGACGAGGACAUGUUUUUGUACCUUGGAAGAUGAUGAUAAUAAACAUAGUUUUAACUGGCCCCCAGUCUUUCCCUAUGACAGCUCAGGUUUUACUGUAUCACAGUAAGAAAUCCUCACAGCAGCAAUAAAAUACUACUAUUCUUAGGCUGUUAACAGUUUGUCAAACACACGUUGAAAUAAAACUCAGUCAAAUACUUUAAGAUAAUAAAGAGAUCUCUAGAUGGAAAGAAUAUAAAUAAGAUAAACUUUUAUUUAAAAAAAAAAAAAACUGUAGCUGCAUUCCUUCACAGAAUUACUCAGAGAUGUAGAAGCAUAUUUCAUGUUAGGGACUUUGUGAAUCAUUAAGUUAUAGGUUUUAGGCUUUGAAUGGGUUGCUCAGUAGAGCACCCUGACUGAAAGCUUUGGUUCUGAAGGAAUAUCAUGACAAUGUAGAGUGUAGUAGAGACUGAAACGUAACCAAAUAAGCUAACAAAUAAAAGAAGAUUUUUUUUAAUUAUAAAAACAUUCACAAGUUCAACGUAACCAUAAAUCUCAUUGUACAAGAAUGUGGACACAGCAGUUUUCAAUAUCCUCAAGUAAACAUCUACCAUAUUGUACUUCACAUUCUUAUGUGAAAUCUAGAGAUUUCCUGUAUGAUGUAACCAACAGGAGAAGAAAAUUGAUUUUUGAAUCAUGAAGUCUGCCCGAUACUCUCAUUACACUGGAAUGCUAUCAAACAUCACAAACAACUGUACCCUUAUUAUCUUCAAUGUGAUUUUUUUUUCUUUCAAAGCCACUCAGUUCAUUAAGAAGAGGGUACACACAGUAGUUUUGUGCUCUAUUUACACUGCUCCUUUUGUUUUCAAGAGUUAAAAA